ACCAUAGAAAGAGCACAUUUUUGUCUAAGUUUUGCUAGGAGAAGAGCUCGCACUGAUACAGGAAGAUUACCUGCUUCUGUUUGUUCUUGUCAUAGCUCCUGACACAGAACUGUCAAGAAAGUGUAAUUCUGCAUUACUGUGUGAUGUCAAUGUGAGGGUAAAAGACUUAUACCCAAACGCCAGCCUGAGAAAUGGAAAUGAAGACCGAGCUCCCUUUGACGAUGGAGAAGACAACGAAUGCCCCAGGCAGCACAGCUCAAGCUCCAGUAAAACAACACACACUGAAUGUGGCUGACAUUGUGGUCCUGGCUGUAUAUUUAGUGUUUGUCUUGGCUGUAGGAUUCUGGUCUAUGUACAGGACAAAGCGGAACACUGUGAAAGGCUAUUUUCUGGCUGGGAAAAAUAUGGUAUGGUGGCCGAUUGGAGCGUCACUGUUUGCCAGUAACGUGGGAAGUGGUCAUUUCAUUGGAUUAGCUGGCACAGGAGCAGCAUCUGGGAUUGCGGUCAGCGCAUAUGAAUUCAACGGAAUGAUUAUUGUGAUCCUUCUGGCAUGGUGUUUCCUCCCCAUUUACAUUGCUGCUGAGGUCACCACCAUGCCUGAAUAUUUACGAAAACGGUUUGGAGGCCAAAGAAUUCAGCUCUUUAUUGCAAUUCUCUACUUAUUCAUCUACAUUUUCACAAAGAUAUCAGUUGAUAUCUACGCAGGAGCUGUCUUUAUUCAGCAAGCUCUUCACUGGGACCUGUACAUUGCAGUGGUCGGAUUAUUGGUGAUCACUACUCUCUACACUGUUGGAGGUGGGCUGGCUGCUGUAAUAUAUACCGAUGCCCUACAGACUGUGAUCAUGCUGAUUGGGGCUCUGAUUCUCAUGGGAUUUGCUUUCGUUGAAGUUGAAGGUUAUUCAGGUCUUCAGGAACUGUACUUCCAUGCCAUUCCCACUGUCCGUGACCUCAACACGACCUGUGGCCUCCCGAGGAACGAUGCCUUUCACAUAUUUCGGGACCCUGUGACCUCCGACUUUCCUUGGCCAGGUGUACUGAUCGGAAUGACUAUCCCUUCGAUCUGGUAUUGGUGCACCGAUCAGGUUAUUGUCCAGAGGUCACUGUCUGCGAAGAACCUGCUACAUGCCAAAGGUGGCUCUUUGUUGGCCGUCUAUUUGAAAAUCUUGCCUGUUUUCAUUAUGGUUUUUCCAGGCAUGAUAAGCCGAGUACUAUUCGCAGAUGAAGUGGCUUGUGCUGAUGCUGAUACCUGUCGUAGAGUUUGUGGGAACCAAAUUGGUUGCUCAGACAUUGCCUACCCGAAGCUGGUAAUGGAGUUGCUGCCAGGAGGGCUGCGGGGCCUUAUGAUGUCUGUGAUGAUUGCAGCCUUGAUGUCCUCCCUCACUUCAAUUUUCAACAGUGCGAGUACAUUAUUUACAAUGGAUAUCUGGCACCACAUUCGACCUCACUGCACUGAGUGGGAGCUCAUGGUCGUUGGCAGGGUGUUUGUUCUUGUCCUGGUGGUGGUAUCCGUCCUGUGGAUUCCUUUGGUGCAAAUGAGUCAAGGUGGUCAGCUCUUCCAGUACAUCCAAUCCAUCAGCUCCUACCUCCAGCCACCUGUCGCAGUAGUCUUCAUGGCUGGUUGCUUCUGGAAACGAACUAAUGAGAUGGGCGCGUUCUGGGGCCUCCUCACAGGGAUCCUGGUUGGUUGCACUCGAAUGGUUUUGGACUUCAUUUAUCCAGAGCCUCUGUGUGGCCAACCUGAUAAUCGGCCUCUGGUGACCAAGUAUGUUCAUUACCUGCACUUUUCCAUCAUCCUUUCUGUCUUUACAUUGAUUGUUGUGGUGAUCAUCAGUCUCAGUACAAAACCUCCAGAUCUAGAAAGGGUAAGUGAUUCAAUCAUCUCAAAUAUUUCAGCUGGGCAAUUCAGAGAUGCCGAUGGGCCUUGACCUACUUACUUUAAGGCAGCACAGCCUUGGAGACUACCUGCUGGAAGUCAAAUAAACAAAGGAUUGGAUUGUAAACCUACUGAGAUUGUUCCAGUUCAACGGAACCAGGGAGCAUUUACUUAAGCUACAUGAGGGUUGUUGGGUAUUCGAUGAUUUCUCCUUGUCAUCACUGGAAGUGUUUAGUCACGAUGCUGUUUUCAUACCUGGCAAUUUCGGAUGUUCUUAUUCAAUCAAAUCUAAGUCUCAAGUGCUCUCUGAUGAAGGAUCUAGGCCCGAAAUGUCAGCUUUUAUGCUCCUGAGAUGCUGCUUGGCCUGCUGUGUUCAUCCAGCUCCACACUUUGUUAUCUAAGUCUCAAGUGAGUGUGUUUGAGCAGUGAGAGAGUUAGAUAGAGCCUUUUAUGUUGAUUGUAUGUGUACUUUGUUUAAUUUUUAUGUGGGUAGAGGAAUUCACUUGAGCUCUGUAAGUAGGCACAAGGGACAGGCCCAUUUAGCAGACUGAUAGAAUCCCUACCUCUGGGCCAGUAAGCCUGGGUUCAAGACUCACUUUCUCCAUCUCUGAACAGGUUGAUUAGGAAACAUCUUAAAUAGACACAAAAACAUUUUAACUUAGUCCUGUCCACUCUUUCUAUCUUUCUUCACUAUUGUUGUGAUCGCACUGUGUACCUGACAGGCUUUGCACAUAAAUUGCUUAUUUCGUUAGAGAGGUGGGUGAUUUAGUGAUGGAGAAUAAAAGAAAAAAAAGGGUGAUUUGGUGGUGGAAAAAAUGCUCAGUGGUGCAUAAAAUCAUCUCAGGACAAAAAAGGUAGACACAUAACCACUUUAAUUUAGUUCCCUCAGUCUCUCCCUACCUUAUUCCACUUUUGUUGGUGCGCUGCCAUUUUGGGUAAACAGUGCAGUGCUCUCCAUUAGACAUGUGUCAUAACAUCUCUGGAGAGGUUGCUUAGAAAACAUCUCAAUAGACACAAGCUAAAACUGUGGUUGUUGGGUUAGUAGACAUAUGCGUGUAAUGUGUAACUCUGUCAAUAAAUAUCAAAGUGUGUAAAGAUUGGUUCCAGUUCUGUCUUUCACCAGCUGGUUUUUGGAAUAGAAUAUUUUGCUAAUCAAAAAAAUGAGAAUGUCUCUGUCUCUGUGUAGUUGGCGAGUUUCAGUCUCAUCCUGUUUUUAUUUAGCUGCUUCCUCAUUUUAAAAAGCAACCUUCCCAUCAGUGACUCAAAACGGCAGAUGCCUAAAGGAAACAGGAAGUUCAAUAUGCUUGACGGAACAGGCAAUACUUGUCUUCACAGAAACAGAUUUAACAUUUCAGAUCAACGAUUUCUUUGGCAUACUGACAAAAAAUAUUGGAGAUCUCAGUGUUAUUAAGCAGAUAAGAGUCAAGGAAAGGAGAACAGUGGAGAAAAGUGGAAAAGGGAAGCUCAGCAAUAAGUUGGAAAGCAGGAUAGAUAAAAUGGCCAAAAUGUACGGCAGUGCAGAGUUGGAUAAUAUGACUAGAAACUUAACAGGGAACCUGUAAAUGGGAACAUCAUCGCUUGUCCAAAAAAAGAAUGAGGACUGGUUAUGAUCUAAAAUUGUUGAACUCUGUAACAAGCCUGGACUGUUAUAAAGUGCCCAAGCGAAAGGCAAGAUGCUCUUUCCUCAAGCAUGGGUUCGACUUCAGUAGAUCUGCACAGAUCAAGGACAGAGAAGUUAACGUGGGAGCAGAGCUGAAAAAUAAAAUGACAGGUGCCAGAAGCUGCCAUUAGUUAUAGAUUUACCUCAUUGAUUCUCGAAUUUCUUUCCAUGUUGGCUGUGUCUGUGGUGCUAUGAUAUGGAGGUGUCAGUGUUUGACAAGGUGGACCAAGUCAGAAAUCACAUGAUACCAGGAUAUUGUCCCAAGCUUUUGGAUUACUGCUCCUUCAGCAGGUCAAAUCAUUUCACCUGAUUAAGGAGCAGCACUUCAAAAGCUUGUGAUUUCAAAUAAACCUGUUGGACAAUAACUCGGUGUUGACUGAUUUUUGUCUAUGGUACUAGACCAGGAUCAGCAUCUUAAAGACAAGGAAACCUAUUUUAAAAAAUUAGUCAAAAAUGCAGAAUCAGUAGAAUUAUAAUCAAUUACUCAAAAGAUUAGCAACAAAAGAAAAUCAAGACAGAGGGACAUAUCUGGAUUUCUGUGAAACUCCAGUUAGCUGAGGUUCUUUCACAUGCCCACAGAGAAGAUGAAACAGUUUCUUUUGAAAAAAGAAAUCUGUUAAUGUUGAUAUUCCUCCCAGUACGACUUACGAAUGAUGAAAAAAGUUCUGUUUCUUGUAUCUUGUUUUGGCAAAGCAUCCUGAAAGCAAUACUUGAUUCCAUAUUUACUUGAAAUCAGUCAUGCCUCUAACAUCUGCAAGACAUGGAAGAUUUGAAAUGUUAACAUUGUUUUUGCCAAUGCAAAUACUGGCUGAUCUGCUGAGCGUGUCCGGCUUUCCAUUUUAGAUUUCUAGAAUCUGCAGUUUUGUGUUUUUGCAAUUGUAAUGACUAGUUAGUUCCUUACUUAUGCACCCGUCUGCAUCUAUGAGUGACUCACAUGUUGAACUGGUGUAUGUUACCUAAAUCAUUGAUGAGAAUCUGCGUGAAGUUAUCAAUGACUGUAACUCAUUAUUACUAUUGACCUAAGCAAGUUUUUCAUAGAAUUUGGUACAUUUAUGAUUAAACUUUUCUCAAGUUCUGUUAUCCUUUAAAAUAUCUGAGCAGAUUUUCAAAAAGCUGAUAUUCUUUGUAAACUACAAACAUAUUUAGAUAGCCAUUGUCUAAAAAUUGAUGGAGGAAGACUAAGUUUGUUCAGUUAAAGUCAGAAUCCGUACAAGAGUCCUUUACUGUGCUGCAUGGAGAGCCCUGCACUACAGUCUUUCAGUUUGGCUUUUUCAAUGUAAAAGGUUUGACUGCUCUUAGAACCAGGAGAAGUUGCUGAACAGCAUGUAUUAUUGUUGCUGUCAAAACUAAACAGUUCUGGAAAGAGAGAGAGCUAGAACUUGACUUAUGACAAAUAAACUUUGAAAAGGCCCCAGUUCUUGAAAACAAUGUCAGCCAAGUGAAUCCGAUGUCAGUGGGGGUUCAUUUAGGAGAUAUGGUGGAGAAUCACAUAAUUAAUCCAGAGUAAUCAACUGAUCAAGAGCUGACUACAAAAGUGCAGGAAUGGGGCUGGCGAGGAUGGACUACAGUGAAAGAUUACAAGGAAAAACAGUAACAGAGCCAUCAGCUACCUUCAAAGAGAAGAUGGUGCAGGUAUAGUCAAGAUAUGAUACCUCAAACAAAUCUGGAGCUGCCUGGAUGAAAAAGGAGACAGAAAUUAAAAUAAAGAAGAGAAAGUGUGCUUAUGACAGGUAUCAAAUAGAAAACACAAUUGAGAUCUAACAGGGAUAAAAAAGGUUCAGAGGGGAGGUCAAAAAACACAUUAGAAAAAAAAGGAAUUAUGAGAAAAGACUGGCAUCCAACAUAAAGAAUCAUCUCAAAGUCUUCUAAAGGCAUACAAAUAGUAAAAUCAAUGGAAAAAUGAGGAGUAGGACUGCUUAGUUUCUAAAACUGGAAUUGACAGUUGCAGGAAGCAGGCAUGACCGAGGUUUUAAAUGAUACUUUACAUUGACUUUUCAUUGGCUACAGAGGGAUUGGACAGAGUAGUAGAGUGGGGAGAGUGUGGCAAAGAAAGCACAGAUGGACUACAAUGUGGGCAAGUGUGAGGUUGCGCACUUUGGUAAGAAGAAUGAAGAUGUAGAUUAUUUUCUAAAUGGGAAAAGGCUUCGGAAAUCUGAAGCAGGCAGGAUCUUGUUCUAGUUCAGGGGAUUCUCUUAAGGUUAACAUGCAAGUUCAUUUGGCAGUUGGGAAAGCAUAUGCAAUGACAUAUUUGUUUGAGAAUUCAUGAGAAUACAAGAGCAGGGAUGUAUUACCAAGCUGUAUAAGGCUCUGUUCGGACCGUACUUGGAAUAUUGUGAGCAAUCUUGGGCCCCUUAUGUAAGGAAUGAUGUGUUGCUCUUGGAGUGGGUCCAAGGAGAUUUACAAGAAUGAUGCUGGAGAUGAAGGGCUUGUCAUAUGCAAAGUGGUUGAGCUCUCUGGGUCUGUACUAGUUGGAGUUUAGAUGGAUGAGGGGGAAUCUCAAUGAAACUUAUAGAAGCUUGAAAGGCCCAGAUAGAGUGGACAUGGAGAGGAUGUUUCCACUAGUAGGAGAGACUAGAACCCAAGGGUACAGCCUCAGAGUGAAGGAACAACCAUUUAGAAUCGAGAUGAGGAGGAAUUUCUUCAGCCAGAAAGUAAAGAAUCGGUGGGACUCAAUGCUGAAGUGGGCUGAGAAGACAAAAUCAUUGAGUGUAUUUAAGACAGAGAUAGAUAAGUUCUUGAUUAAUAAGGGGUCAAGGAUUAUGGAGAUAAGGCAAGCAGAAUGGGGUCAAGAAAUGUAUCAGCCAUGAUCGAAUGGCAGAGCAGACUGGUGAAAGAGGAGGUAGCUCUGUCACUAGAAUGAUUUAUAGUUGAUAAACAAUAAGUGUUGGAUAGAUUGUUGGUACCUAAAGUUGACAAGGCUCUGGAAUCGAACUGGAUGCAUUCAAGGAUAUUGAAGGACGUGUGAGUGAAAAUUGCAGGGAAACACUGGCCACAAGUCUUUCAGUCUUGCCUAGUCUCAGGGGGAGACUGGAGCAUUGCAAAUAUCAUGUCACUGUUCAAAACAGUCUGUAAGGAUAAGCCCCGUGAUCAUAGACCAGUCAGUUAAACUUCAGAGCUGGGUAGGCUUCUAGAAAUAAUUAUUUGGCAUCGAAUUAGUAGUCAUGCGGUAAAAGGUGUAUUGACUCGGAAGAGACAGCCUGGAUUUCUCAAGGAGAAAUCAUGUUGAACUUACUUGUUGGAGUUUUUUUGAUUAGGCAAGGGACAGAAUUGAUGAGGGUAAUGCCGCUGAUGUAGUGUACAUGGACUUCCAGAAGGCAUUUGAUACAGUGCCACAGAACAGACCUGUAAGGAAAGUACAGCUCAUGGAAUAUAAAAGAUAAUAGCAAGGUAGAUACAAAAUCAGCUGAAUGAUAAGCAAGUACUGUAAUGAUCACUGGAUGUUUUUUGGGCUGGAGGAAGGUUUAAAAAGGAGUUGCCCAGGUUUAAUAUUGGGAUCCUUGCUUUUCCUGACAUGCAUUAAUGAUCUGAAUCUUGGUGUGCAACAGACAAUUUGUAGGUGAUACCAAAACUUGGAAGAGUUAUAAACUGUGAGCAGGACAGUGUAGAACUUCAAAAGGCUUUGACAAAUGGUUGGGUGGGCAAACAGAUAGCAGAUGAAGUUCAAUGCAGAGAAGUGUGAGAUGAUGCAUGUUGGUAGAGGGACAGGAGACAAUGGGGGAUACAAUUCUAACAGGUAUGCAGUGCAAAGGGACCUGGCUGCAUAUGUGCACUGAUCACUGAAGGUGGUAGGACUGGUGGAGAGACCAGUUAAUAAAACAUGGCCUUAUUAAUAGAGGAAUACUGUAAAAGAGCAAGGAGGUUAUGUUGAGUUUAUGCAGGACACUUAUUUGAUCUCAGCUGCAGUAUUGUGUACAGUCUGUGUGACACAUGAUAGAAAGGAUGUGAACACAUUAGAGAGAAAACAUUCCCUUUAAAUUAUGUGUCUGUGCAGCUGUGCAGACACUCAGAAGUCCCAGGUAUGCCAAUCAGUGUGCUGUGCGUUGAAUCCCGCACAAGUUGCUGCUACACAUGGACACUGGAGGUCUGUGCAGUGGACAAACAAAAUUAGAGGAAUGUAGGUUGUGUGACCAAAUUGGAGAGGUUAGGAGUUUGUCCUUGGAGCAAACGAUGCUAGCACUAAAUGUUUUCAAGAUCAUAAAGGAGCUGGAUGGAGUAGAUAGGGGGAAACUGUUCCCACUCAUAAUUAGAUCAAGAAUGAGAGGGCACAGAUUUAAAGUGAUUCACAUAAGCACACAUGGAAGGAGAGAAAAGUUUUUCAUACAGUGAGUAGUUAGUGUCUGGAAUGCACUAUCUGGAAUUUGGUGGAAGCAGGUUCAGCUGACACAUUCAUGAAGGUACUGGAUGAGUAUAUGAAUAGAAACAAUGGAGGAAAAGCAGGAGAAUGACACUGUCAUGAUGUUUGUGUGGAGAGCUGAUACAGAGACAAAGGACUGAAUGGUCUCCUUCUGUACCAUAAUACUUAUGGGAUUCUGUGACAUCUUGUUUAUUUAUUUAUUCAUGGCAUAUGGAUAUUGCUGGUUAGACCAGCAUUUACUGCCAAUUCCUAAUUACUCUGGAGAAGAGCAAUGAGCUUCCCUCUUGAACUCUGCAGAUUGAAGGGUGUAGGCUCCUCCUUAACACUGUUAGUAAGGGAGGGUCAUUGAUGAAGCAAUUAAAGAUGGUUGGGCCUAGGACACUAUCCUGAGAAACUCCUAUAGCAAUGUCCAGGAGCUGAGUUAACUGACUUUAAACAACCACACCAUCCUCCUUGUGAAAGGAACGAUGCCAGCCAGCUGAGGGAUUUCCUAUUGAUUCCUGUUUUCUAGAGGUCUUUGUUGCCACACUCGAUCCAAUGUGACCUUUAAGUGAAGGACAGUCAGUCUUAUGUCACCCCUGGAGUUCAGCUUUUUAAUUUAUGUUUGGACCAAGGCUAUAAUGAGAUCAGGAAGUGAAUGGCACUGGUUGAACUGAAUCUGAGCAUUACUCCUUUUCAGGUGCUGCUUGAUAGCAUUGUUGACAACCCCUUCCAUCACUUUACUGAUGAUAGAGAAUGGACUGAUAGGGCAUUAAUUGGCUGCAUUGGAUUUAUCCUGCUUUUUGGGCACAGGACAUACCUGCGUAAUUUUACCCGUUGUCGGGUAGAUGCCAGUGUUGUAGCUCUACUGGACCACAUUAGCUAGCAGCACAGUUCUGGAACACAGGUCUUCAUUACUGUUACUGGAAUGUUCUCAGCCCAUAGUUUUACAGUAAUCACUGUCUUCAGCUGUUUCUUGAUUUCAUGUAAAAUGAAUUGGUUGAAGGCUGGCAUCUGUGAAGCUGUGUAUUUCGGAGAGGGCGGUGCAGGAGCUGAGAUGGAUUAUCUACUUGGCAGUUCUAGUUGAUUGGAGAUGCUUCAGCUUUUGUCUUUUGCACUGACCUUGGAGGCAAUGAUGUAAUGUCACUGGACUAGAACUAUGCAUUGGUAUUCUGGGGAACAUGGUAUCAAGUCAAAACAUGGCUACUGGCGAAAUGUUAAUACAAUGGAAUUCUGCAUCUUAAAAACUGACUGCGUAGCCACUGUCAUUUGUCAUAAAAACUCCUCUAGGUCCCUUUUAGUAAAGAAGAUGUGCUAUCCUUAACUGGCCUGCAUGUGUGUUCAGACCCACAGUAAUGUGAUUGACUCUUAACUGUCCUCUGGACAUUUAGGGAUGGGCAAUAAAUGAUCAAAGAGAAACACAUAUGUUGGGCUCCUCAUUGUUGGUAUUUAUAGAGCCUCUACCCCCUGAAGGUUGAUUAAUUAUCCACUUCUUCUCACAUGGUGCAGUGACUAGAAACCACGACACAGAAUCUGUCAAAAGCCAACUGCCUCUGUUUCUGUCAUUGUUAAAAAAAGAAUCAAAGGAAUAAAAGAUGAAAGCAGGUUAACUUGAUCAGCACAAUUUUACAAAGUCAUAAAUAAGUACAAUUUUAAAGUCAGAAGUUUUCAAAAGAGACAAAUAUUGGAUCAUUUCAAAGACUAUUUAAACAAGCAAUGAUACCUUGUUAAAUCCACCUAAACAUUUUAAAAAUCUGAUAAAUUGAGUUUGAGAAAACGUAACAAAUCUACUUAUGUCCAACAGGGUUUUGGAAGUUCCCUAUUGGUAUAUUUGUCCUUAUUAAAGAUUCACAAAAUGAGAGAACUCCCACAAAAGCCAACAUUUUUCAAACAGAGUAAUUUGUGAGUGGGCAUUUCGAUCUGCAGGGUGGCUGAUGACUGAUACCAUGAAGCUUCUGGAGAACUGGAGGGUGGCCCCCUGUAACUUCUGGAUUUACACACCGGAAUGCUCAUGUAAGUUGCCGGGCCUCUCCACCAUGUCCGUACAGUUUGAAGGCUUGGUUGUCAUUGCUUCAGUAAAAUCGUGGCCAAUAACUAAUAUCGUUGUCAUGAGAGACAUUGCUUUUAAUUCCAUUUGCUUCUGGGCAGGUAGAUAGUGAAGUGAGUUGAAAAAUGUUCCAGAACUGAAACCCAGGCCACUUUAACUCCAAAGUUGCAUUCAAAUUCCCAUUGGUUGAUUUUCCAGCAACUCUGGAUGGAAAAGCAGUGGAAAAUGACAUGAUCCUGUUGUAAGGCCUAGGACCAAGGACAAGUGAUCUUCUCUUCUUCCUAUUUCUUCUGGUCUUCAAAUUGAGAGGCAGAUUGACUCCACUUUGAUACAAGGUCGACAGGUUUCUGAUCCUCUAUCUGGCGUGCUGGCCUGGGUUGUGCUGUGAACAUAGAUCUCACUUGAUACAGAACAAGAGGCUUAAAUGUUCCUGGUGAGGUCUUAAGGGGCCUGACUGGCCCUGAUAGGCUUUCACUAGUCAAAACUUUAGGUCAAAUUCCCUGCUGAAACUUCAGUGAAAAUUAUCAUUGCAUCUCAUGGGGACCUGAAAUAUAUUUGUGAAAUAGAACGAUAUUUGUUGCCUCGGUAUCCUUGCCCAGUAUAGAAGGUUGAAAUGUCAUACAGUGGAAUCAUGACUGCUUCGGGUUUGAGAGUACCUCAGACAAUUUUAACUGCCCAUUCCUUCCAGAUUCUGCUGGGCAGUUCAAAUCAUCCUUUAGAUCUUUUUUGAUUUUUAGGAAUGUCUCCACAACUUGGAAUGGAUUCAAUACACCUGAAAUAAGUCUCUGGCAAUUCUACUGCAAAACAUUCUUCCUGGCUCUGAACUAUGGAGCAGGGCUACAUAAGUCAAGAUUAGCCGCUUGACCUGGUUCACCCGUUUUGAAAGAAACAAUUCUGUAGUAAAACAGCCUGAUGAAGCAGCUGCAUCUGAAAUAGAUUGUACAAUGAAACAGCCUAC